GACGUAGGGCGCGAGCGUUGUCCGGAUUUAUUGGGCGUAAAGAGCUCGUAGGCGGCUUGUCGCGUCGUUCGUGAAAACCUGCAGCUCAACUGCAGGCUUGCGGUCGAUACGGGCAGGCUGGAGUUCGGUAGGGGAGACUGGAAUUCCUGGUGUAGCGGUGAAAUGCGCAGAUAUCAGGAAGAACAUCGGUGGCGAAGGCGCUCUGCUGGACCAUAACUGACACUCAGGGACGAAAGCUAGGGGAGCGAGUGGG
rnacentral:rRNA from 1 species